CUUGAAGACUGUUUCUAAAGUGGAAGAACUGGAUUGUGUUGAUUCUGCUGUGUUAGUUGAUGUCUCUAAAAUAAUAACAUUGACCCAGGAGUUUAGAAGGCACUAUGACAGCGUUUACCGCGCGGAUUAUGGCCCUGCCCUCAAGAACUGGAAAAGAGACCUGUCCAAACUUUUCACCUCGUUGUUUGUAGAUGUCAUCAACAGUGGAAGAAUUGUUGGAUUUUUUGAUGUUGGCAGAUAUGUGUGUGAGGAGUUGCCUGACUCCCCGUCGUGUAGAUAACUACGAUACGGGAGGGCUUACCAUCUGGCCCCAGUGCUGCAAUGAUACCGCGAGACCCACGCUCACCGGCUCCAGAUUUAUCAGCAAUAAACCAGCCAGCCGGAAGGGCCGAGCGCAGAAGUGGUCCUGCAACUUUAUCCGCCUCCAUCCAGUCUAUUAAUUGUUGCCGGGAAGCUAGAGUAAGUAGUUCGCCAGUUAAUAGUUUGCGCAACGUUGUUGCCAUUGCUACAGGCAUCGUGGUGUCACGCUCGUCGUUUGGUAUGGCUUCAUUCAGCUCCGGUUCCCAACGAUCAAGGCGAGUUACAUGAUCCCCCAUGUUGUGCAAAAAAGCGGUUAGCUCCUUCGGUCCUCCGAUCGUUGUCAGAAGUAAGUUGGCCGCAGUGUUAUCACUCAUGGUUAUGGCAGCACUGCAUAAUUCUCUUACUGUCAUGCCAUCCGUAAGAUGCUUUUCUGUGACUGGUGAGUACUCAACCAAGUCAUUCUGAGAAUAGUGUAUGCGGCGACCGAGUUGCUCUUGCCCGGCGUCAAUACGGGAUAAUACCGCGCCACAUAGCAGAACUUUAAAAGUGCUCAUCAUUGGAAAACGUUCUUCGGGGCGAAAACUCUCAAGGAUCUUACCGCUGUUGAGAUCCAGUUCGAUGUAACCCACUCGUGCACCCAACUGAUCUUCAGCAUCUUUUACUUUCACCAGCGUUUCUGGGUCCAUAACAGCAUCAACCACUUUGUACAAGAAAGCUGGGUCGGCGCGCCCACCCUUUGUCUGAGACCCUUGUCCCUGUUGUCCUGGACUAGAUCCAGGUGAUCCUGUGGCACCUUGCUCUGCACCGGCAUCCAGAGAUGCUGUGGGACCAUGUUGUGUGCCAGAAGCUUGUGUACUUGUGGAUGGCUGCUCGGGGUCUGUAGGGGGCUCUGUAGGGGGCUCUGGUAAGGGAAAAUAAGGCUUUGCCUUGACUAUAGUACCUUCUACGCUGCUGUGGUAUUUUUCACAGUAGGCCAAGACAACCCUUUUUAGUUUUUUGGCCUGUUUCUUGUCUUCAACAAAUGAAAGUAAAUAGUAUGUUACACACUGUUGUGUUGUGCCUGGUACCAAGGGUAAACAGCUAACUGGUGUUGAGAGUACAUGUUUGCUUUGGAUACACUUGUGAAGUUUAUUCAAAGUGUAGGGAUGUGUGCUACUAAACAUAACAGCUGACUUAAAAUGUGUUGGGGGGUGACCCUCGGGAUCAAAUAACCUGGGUGCUGUCACCUGCAGGUGUCUUCGCAUUCCCUGAUAUUUUUUAGGCAAUGGAUCAGAUGGAUUAUGCGGUUUUUGAUACCUGGAGUAUCUUUUUGGUGGAGGGGGACCGGGAUCGUCUGUCUCUCCUACAUCUAAACCUUCAACAUCAACAUCUGGUGAUGGUGGGGCUGGUGGGGGGGAAGGAGAUGGUGGCUCAUGUACUGGUGAUGAAGGAGGGACGGGGGAUGAGGGAAGUGUUGGUGAUGAAGGGGGCACUGGUGGUGAUGGGGGGUUUGGCGUUUGAGUUCCCUGGCUGGACUCCUCAUCACCUUGGCAUCCCGGUGGUGGAGGAGGGGCUGGUCUUUUUGGAGCGCGGCGUCUUUUAGGAGGCAUGGCUGCUGGUUUGUUGAAGCACCUACGUUUGCACCCUGAUCUGGUUUUGCCUGAGGUUGUGUUGCGUGUAGUCGGUGGGGAUGUGGGCAUUAUCUGAAAGAGAUAAAGUACACAGUCACAACUUUUAGCACAGGAAGGGUGUGGGUCAAGUGUUUAUGCUUUAAAUUCUGUAGGCAGGUGUGUCACAGUUCUCCUUAAAGGGGACCUUCUUCCUGUUUCUCUACUUCUGACUCUGCAAGAAAGACAGACUGAGUGAGUGUCCCCACACCGGAGCCACGAUGCUUGUCCUGCGGGACCUGGACCUGGAAGAUCUUCAGGCAUUCUUAGAAAACUCAUCAUUGUCCUAUGACGAUUAUUAUGACAAUGCUACCUGGAUUCCAGAUUUGGCGAGCCCCUGUACGGUGUCCCUCAAGUAUGGGGUACUGUUUGCACUGGCUCUGUUUAUGUUUGUUCUGUCUGUGCUUGGAAAUCUGACGGUAGUGUGUGUGUUUUGUGCAUAUAGGGCGGCAUGUAAGGGGGCAGAUGUUUUGAUGCUAGUAUUUUGUUUUGUGUGCAUGUUGGCCUCUUUGGCUCAUGUGCUAGAAAUAUCUCACCUCCUGUACACCAUGCCAGGAUCUAUGCUAUUGUGUGUAUUAUUCACCCUUUAUGUAAGCACCUUGGACUUUUGUAUUGUAUUUAUAUUGAUGAUAAUUUCUAUACAUAGGUGUUUGCUAGUUAUGACUCCAAAUAGGCUGUUUUUGAAUAGUAAAUGCUUUGGAGCGUG
rnacentral:lncRNA from 1 species